rnacentral:rRNA from 1 species
CCGUUUGGUUCACUAUGAGAUGGGGAUGCGGCGUAUUAGUUAGUAGGUGAGGUAAUGGCUCACCUAGGCGAUGAUACGUAGCCGAACUGAGAGGUUGAUCGGCCACAUUGGGACUGAGAUACGGCCCAGACUCCUACGGGAGGCAGCAGUAAUGAAUUUUCCACAAUGAGCGAAAGCUUGAUGGAGCGACACAGCGUGCAGGAUGAAGUUCGUCGGAAUGUAAACUGUUGUUAUAAGGGAAGAAAAAAUAGAAUAGGAC